rnacentral:rRNA from 1 species
AGAUGACGGUACCGUAAGAAUAAGGACCGGCUAACUCCGUGCCAGCAGCCGCGUAUANNCGGAGGAUCCGAGCGUAUUCCGGAAUUAUUGGGUUUAAAGGGUCCGCAGGCGGGUCAGUAAGUCAGGGGUGAAAGUNUGCGGCUUAACCGUAAAAUUGCCUUUGAUACUGCUGGUCUUGAGUUGCGGUGAAGUGGCUGGAAUAUGUGGUGUAGCGGUGAAAUGCAUAGAUAUCACAUAGAACACCGAUUGCGAAGGCAGGUCACUAACCGCCGACUGACGCUGAUGGACGAAAGCGUGGGGAGCGAACGGGAUUAGAUACCCCGGUAGUCCACGCCGUAAACGAUGGACACUAGCUGUCGGGCCGAUUUAGGUUCGGUGGCUAAGCGAAAGUGAUAAGUGUCCCACCUGGGGAGUACGUCGGCAACGAUGAAACUCAAAGGAAUUGACGGGGGCCCGCACAAGCGGUGGAGCAUGUGGUUUAAUUCGAUGAUACGCGAGGAACCUUACCAGGGCUUAAAUGUAGUGGGACAGGCUUAGAGAUAGGCUUUUCUUCGGACUCAUUACAAGGUGCUGCAUGGUUGUCGUCAGCUCGUGCCGUGAGGUGUCAGGUUAAGUCCUAUAACGAGCGCAACCCCUACCGUUAGUUGCCAGCGAGUAAAGUCGGGGACUCUAACGGAACUGCCGGUGCAAACCGCGAGGAAGGUGGGGAUGACGUCAAAUCAUCACGGCCCUUACGUCCUGGGCUACACACGUGCUACAAUGGCCGGUACAAUGAGCAGCCACGUCGCAAGGCGGAGCGAAUCUAUAAAACCNGGUCACAGUUCGGAUCGGGGUCUGCAACCCGACCCCGUGAAGCUGGAAUCGCUAGUA